CCUANGGGGGGCUGCAGUGAGGAAUAUUGCGCAAUGGGGGAAACCCUGACGCAGCGAUGCCGCGUGAGUGAAGAAGGCCUUCGGGUCGUAAAGCUCUGUCAAGUGGGAAGAAUAGCCUGGGGACAAAUACUCCUCGGGUCUGACGGUACCACUGAAGGAAGCACCGGCUAACUCCGUGCCAGCAGCCGCGGUAAGACGGAGGGUGCAAGCGUUGUUCGGAAUUACUGGGCUUAAAGGGCGAGUAGGCGGUGGAGCAAGUCUGAGGUGGAAUCCUAUGGCUUAACCAUAGAAAUGCCUUAGAAACUGUUUUACUUGAGUCAGUGAGGGGAGGGCGGAAUUCCUGGUGUAGCGGUGAAAUGCGUAGAUAUCAGGAGGAAGGCCUGUGGCGAAAGCGGCCCUCUGGCACUGUACUGACGCUGAGGCGCGAAAGCGUGGGGAGCAAACAGGAUUAGAUACCCCUNUANUC
rnacentral:rRNA from 1 species